GUAGUACAGCAGUGAGGAAUUUGGUCAAUGGCCUAACGGCUGAACCAGCAACUUGCAGGAAAAUAUAAUAAGUUAGUCUUAUAAAGUUCUGGAUAAAGCUUAUUAUGAAACUUUAUAUCCAUAGGUCUCGACCAAAUCUUGUGCCAGCAGUCGCGGUAAGACAAGGGAGACAAGUGUUAUUCAUCUUUAACAGGUAUAUAGGGUACCUAGACGGUGUAAAAUGGCUUGGAUAAGUACCUAUACACUUGAGUUUGAUAUGGGAGAGGAAUAUGUCGGAAUUGUUGGUGUAAAGAUGAAAUUUGCUAAUACCAAUAGGACCGGUAACGGCGAAGGCAAACCUCUAUGUACAUAACUUGCUUAUUCUAUAGAAGAAUUGAUUUGAAAUUAUAAUUGGAUUCUAAAGAAUUACUCUUUCUUACUAGAUUGAAAAUGAAAGUGAAGAAAACGCUUAAAUGCAUAAAGAAAAAAGGCAAGCUAUUAUAACUGACGUUGAGGGACGAAGGCUCAGAGAGUGAAGAGGAUUAGAUACCCCCGUAGCCUGGGCAGACAAUGAUGAGUGCCAUAGGUUGGCUUUACGCGGAACUAUAAAUGAAAGUGCAAGCACUCCACCUCAAGAGUAAUGUGGCAACGCAGGAACUGAAAUCAUUAGACCGUUUCUGAAACCAGUCGUGAAGUAUGUUAUUUAAUUCGAUGAUCCUCGAAUAACCUUACCACAAUUUGAAUGACCUAAAAUAUUUUUUUAGACCACAUGCGUUGCAUGGCUGUCUUCAGUUAAUGUCGUGAGAUUUGGUUAGGUCCAUUAAAUUAACGUAAACCCUUGUUUUAUUUAUUACUAUAAAGCAGCUCUCCGCUUACAAUUGGAUGUGAUAAUAGU
rnacentral:rRNA from 1 species